rnacentral:snRNA from 1 species
AGCUUUGCACAGUGGCAGUAUCAUAACCAAUGAAGUUAAUCUGAGGUGUGAUUAUUGCUACUUGAAAAUCUGUUCCUUUCCUGGUGGUAAGUGGUACAGUACUACUGGAAACAGUAGAAACUG